CGCGGGGUGGAGCAGUCUGGUAGCUCGUCGGGCUCAUAACCCGAAGGUCAUAGGUUCAAAUCCUGUCCCCGCAA
rnacentral:tRNA from 3 species